GGAGGAAUUGAUGCAGCUGUUGGUAACUUAGUAAUUCGGACCUUAACUAGAAGUACUUCCAAAUAGUUUUCCAUUCUAGGGAACUCACUCAAACUUGAUGACACAUAACAUUAGAGGUGGUGAAAUGAUA